CAUUACUGGGUGUAAUCAUUUUUUCGGUAUAAAUCUCUUCCACCUGGAAGAACCGGAAGCCACUGGCUUCCAAUUUUUGCAACCCGAAAGGGUAC
rnacentral:misc_RNA from 1 species